rnacentral:rRNA from 1 species
CCACAAUGGACGAAAGUCUGAUGGAGCGACGCCGCGUGCGGGAUGAAGGCCUUAUGGGUUGUAAACCGCUGUCAGGGGGGAAGAACAUCGGAAUGAACAAUACUCAUUCCGACUGACGUUACCCCAGAGGAAGCUCCGGCCAACCUCCGUGCCAGCAGCCGCGGUAAUACGGGGGGAGCAAGCGUUGUCCGGAAUUAUUGGGCGUAAAGGGCGUGUAGGCGGCGAGGUAAGUCGAAUGUGAAAUCUCACGGCUCAACCGUGAAACUGCGUUCGAAACUACCCUGCUUGAGUACGGGAGAGGUGUACGG